rnacentral:misc_RNA from 1 species
GAAGAACGUAGCGAACUGCGAUAAGUAAUGUGAAUUGCAGAAUUCAGUGAAUCAUCGAGUCUUUGAACGCACAUUGCGCCCCCUGGCAUUCCGGGGGGCAUGCCUGUCCGAGCGUCAUUGCUGCCCUUCAAGCCCGGCUUGUGUGUUGGGUCGUCGUCCCCCCCGGGGGACGGGCCCGAAAGGCAGCGGCGGCACCGCGUCCGGUCCUCGAGCGUAUGGGGCUUUGUCACCCGCUCGAUUAGGGCCGGCCGGGCGCCAGCCGGCGUCUCCAACCUUCUAUUUUACCAGGUUGACCUCGGAUCAGGUAGGGAUACCCGCUGAACUUAAGCAUAUCAAUAAGCGGAGGA